CAGAUUACUCUUAUCUCAAGU
rnacentral:piRNA from 1 species